UCGAGAAUCUUUCACAAUGGGGGAAACCCUGAUGGAGCGACGCCGCGUGGAGGAUGAAGGUCUUCGGAUUGUAAACUCCUGUCAUGAAAGAACAAGCAAUGUGGGUUAAUAACCUGCAACGUUGAUAGUAUUUCAAGAGGAAGGGACGGCUAACUUCGUGCCAGCAGCCGCGGUAAUACGAAGGUCCCAAGCGUUGUUCGGAAUCACUGGGCGUAAAGAGUGCGUAGGCGGCGCGGAAAGUCAGAUGUGAAAUCCCGGGGCUCAACCUCGGAACGGCAUCCGAUACUCCCGCGCUUGAGGACUGGAGAGGAGUCUGGAAUUCACGGUGUAGCAGUGAAAUGCGUAGAUAUCGUGAGGAACACUAGUGGCGAAGGCGAGACUCUGGACAGUUCCUGACGCUGAGGCACGAAGGCCAGGGGAGCGAAGGGG
rnacentral:rRNA from 1 species